rfam:Haemonchus contortus, ISE/inbred ISE, WGS project CAVP01000000 data, contig: Hcontortus_21260
AAACUUACCUGGCUGGGAGGUUCUCGCGAUCAACAAGGCGGGACCUCCAUGGAGAGGCCUGCGCAUUGCACUUUAGCCCAGGCUGACCUGUGUGGCAGCUCCGAAUUGGGGUUCGCCAACAGCUAAAUUUUUGUGUGAGGGGCUGCGUUCGCGCGGACCUGCU